GCGCAUCACACUUGGAGAAGUGACUUACCCUAUAACCUUGACUAUUCUCACCUGUAAAACAUGGAGUAUGAUUGUGUGUUAAUACUUUCAAUCUCAAAGGACUGUGACGACUGAGAGAAAGAGAAAUCAAUCCAAGAGCAACAAAAAUAAAUUUCAGACUAGAUUCAAAAUGCUGCUUGCUCUGCCUGUGACAGCUUUCCCCAGCUUCCACCUCUCCAGUCAAAAGUUUUAAAGAAGGAAGACUACCUCCAAAGAACAAGGAAUGCAGUACCAGUGCCCGUUUUUAUGAGUGAAUCUCAAGUGGAAGGUGACAGACAGCAGAACAAACACUAUAAAGCAUAGUGGCUAAGAAGACAAGCUUUGGAAUCCAGCAGGGCAGCAUUCAAAUUCGGCUUCUCUCAUUUAUUGGCCUCCUCCCUGGGAUAACACACCGUGGUAAGAUCCAUGAGAAGCAUGCCUUUCUGCUGCAAAACAGGAGAAAAAUGGCUGUGAGAGGAGAGGUAGAAAUCCACGGCUAGUAGAUAGACUCUUAGUCCCGUCACUUUUGGAGAAGUCCACCUAUGGAAUUGAGAUCUUGAAAUUGCUAUCCUUGCCCCAGCUAACAUCUGGAAAGCCUUCCUUUUCUUUAAUUUGAAGAUUACGACUUAAAUCUUCCACCUUGUUUUUUCCACCAUCUCUGUUAAAAUUUUGAUGUGAUCGUGUAAAAUCACUGAGUUGCAAAACGUUUGGAGACAGGAUAUGUUGUCCAGAUAUUUUUAAUUAAAGAGCUGGAAGUGA